rnacentral:rRNA from 1 species
AGGCCACUGCUAUUGGGAUCCGACUAAGCCAUGCGAGUCGAGAGGGUUCGGCCCUCGGCAGACUGCUCAGUAACACGUGGAUAAUCUACCCUUAGGUGGAGGAUACUCUCGGGAAACUGAGAAUAAUACUCCAUAGGUCUAGGAUGCUGGAAUGCACCUAGGUUGAAAGCUCCGGCGCCUAAGGACGAGUCUGCGGACUAUCAGGUAGUAGUCAGGGUAAAGACCUGACUAGCCUACGACGGAUACGGGUUGUGAGAGCAAUAGCCCGGAGACGAUAUCUGAGACACGAUAUCGGGCCCUACGGGGCGCAGCAGGCGCGAAAUCUUCACAAUGUGCGAAAGCACGAUGAGGGGAUCCCAAGUGUUGGUUCGUAAGAGUCAUCUGUUUCUUUGUCUAAAAAACAGGGAGAGUAAGAGCUGGGUAAGACGGGUGCCAGCCGCCGCGGUAAUACCUGCAGCUCAAGUGGUGGCCGCUAUUAUUGGGCCUAAAACGUCCGUAGCCGGUUUAGUAAAUGCCUGGGUAAAUUGUGUAGCUCAACUAUACGAAUACCGGGUAGACUGCUAAACUUGGAACCGGGAGAGGCUAGAGGUACUCCUAGGGUAGAGGUGAAAUUCUGUAAUCCUAGGGGGACCACCAGUGGCGAAGGCGUCUAGCCAGAACGGGUUUGACGGUGAGGGACGAAGCCCUGGGGCGCAAACCGGAUUAGAUACCCGGGUAGUCCAGGGUGUAAACGCUGCUCGCUUGAUGUUAGUCGGGCUCCGAGCCCAACUAGUGUCGGAGAGAAGUUGUUAAGCGAGCUGCCUGGGAAGUACGGUCGCAAGGCUGAAACUUAAAGGAAUUGGCGGGGGAGCACAGCAACGGGUGGAGCGUGCGGUUUAAUUGGAUUCAACGCCGGAAAUCUCACCG